CUGCUGCCUCCCGUAGGAGUCUGGGCCGUGUCUCAGUCCCAGUGUGGGGGGCCUUCCUCUCAGAACCCCUACGCAUCGUCGCCACGGUGGGCCGUCACCCCGCCGUCUAGCUAAUGCGCCGCAUGCCCAUCCGCCACCGGAUCGCUCCUUUGGCCACCGGAGGAUGCCCUCCGGUGGCGUCACGGGGUAUUAGGCCGCGUUUCCGCGGGUUAUCCCCUGUGGCGGCCAGGUUGCAUACGUGUUACUCACCCGUGCGCCGGUCGCCGGCGG
rnacentral:rRNA from 1 species